rnacentral:rRNA from 1 species
AACGAACGCUGGCGGCAGGCUUAACACAUGCAAGUCGAACGGUUGUAGCAAUACAGCAGUGGCAGACGGGUGAGUAACACGUGGGAACCUUCCUAGGGGUACGGAACAACUCAGGGAAACUUGAGCUAAUACCGUAUACGUCCGUGAGGAGAAAGAUUUAUCGCCCUUAGACGGGCCCGCGUCGGAUUAGCUAGUUGGUGGGGUAAUGGCCUACCAAGGCGACGAUCCGUAGCUGAUCUUAGAGGAUGAUCAGCCACACUGGGACUGAGACACGGCCCAGACUCCUACGGGAGGCAGCAGUGGGGAAUCUUGGACAAUGGGCGCAAGCCUGAUCCGGCCAUGCCGCGUGAGUGAAGAAGGUCUUCGGAUUGUAAAGCUCUUUUGCCAGGGACGAUAAUGACGGUACCUGGAGAAUAAGCCCCGGCAAACUUCGUGCCAGCCGCCGCGGUAACAC